AAACUUACAUCUUCAGGUACAUAUAAACCUUCAUUAAAAAACUGUACAUCAGAGGUUUUAUUUGAGUAGAUUUUGACCAAAUUAAUUUUUUUACUGAAUUGUAUCCAAAGUACCUUUCUUUAACUACAUCUACGCAAUGCUGCAUGAUUUCAGUUUCUUUAAGGCAAGAAUUGUUCUCUAUAACCAUUUUGACUUAAGUCAUGCAGUAGUAUUCCUUAAAUCAGGAAAGCCAGACUAACUUCUAAGUGCUUUACAGCUUUACAUUUUAGCAGCAAGAUGCCAAAGCAGCUUUGCUUGGUGCAUCGAUAACUGUUGUGUCAGUGAACAACAAGAACAGACCACAAAAGCUUUAGAUAAAUACAAGGAGAAGAAAGCUGUUAAAUGCAUUUCAGUGCAUAUUUACACGUGUCAGAGUACUAUAAGGCAAGGCGUACAAAACUGUAAAAAUAAGCAGCUCCCAGAGAUGAGUGGUAUGUCACUGCUUAUGUUUUGGAGAAGGGUGUAAAACACAACUGGGCUGAAAUGUCCCAAAAGAAUUAAUCACGAUUUAUUCAACUAAAGUACAGGAUCCAAAAUGCUCCUCAUCUAAACUCAUUCCUGAUAAAUAAGCUGAGAAACAGGACAGACUCCACUAGGCAAGCAGCUAUCACUGUUGCCUUUGUGGCAGAAGAAAGGGGCUAUUAAUUUUCUGCUAGUAACCUGCAAAGGAAUAAUAUGUUUCUAUGCCCUGAACUAUCAAAUCAAUCACAUAUAAAAACAGGCCAGCAAUUCUUUUUCUUUGAGAUUUAUUCUCUUCCAUUAUUUGCAGGUAGCAGACUGCUGUCUCAGGCCUUGGUGGGAGCUAGGAGUGAACCAGGGCAACCCAUCACCUCCAAGGGACACAGCCGAGAGAAACGCUGUCAAACUUUCUUUACAGUAUGGCAGUAGAUACCGCAACAGUUCACUCUCACAAGUGGCCCAUCUAUAAGCUGCUGAUCAAUAUGAGUUAAUGGCAAAUUUGAAAGAGCCUUUUCUCUCAGACCCAGGGGAAAAAAAGGGGAAAAAAAUCCACUGUGGUAAGAAGCAGAUGAAGUGGACAAAGCCCUGAGCAACCCGGUCUGAGCUCAGAGCUGGCCCUGCUGCAAGCAGGAGGUUGGGCUGAGGUGCCCUCAGCUCCCAUCCAGCUGGAAUUAUCCUGUGAUCCCGAAUGGCAAUUUUUUUCACGUGAAAGUAGUGUUCAGCCAUUUAUUCAAAGUUAUGCUAUGUGAUGCAAAAUUUCGUAAGAGUAGCUUACAGUCACCUGUAUUCAGUGGUUGUUUAAGAACUUUCCCACUGUUUAUGAAAAUUAAUUUUUCUUUAUAUUUUAAUUAAAUAACUGCUGGUGACCUUCUAGUGUAUCUCGGGUAUAAGAAUCCCCUAAUGCUUAUCUGCCCUUGUUUAUUAGUUUCCUCAGGGAAAAGAUGAUCCUGUUUUGCAUUUCUGGAAAGUCCCUAGCUGUUGUUGAUAAACACGCUGCAGAUAUUUUAGUUACAACAUAUUUUCGACUUAGCUUCCAUUUAAUUUAUUUCCAUUUACCAUUUGUUUGGAUAUUGGCAGUGCUGGCUGUGGGUGUGGGAUGUGUUAGCUUCAGAUUACUUUCGUAAGAGUAGUCUGUCCGUUCCAUGACUUCUCAGGUCUAAAAGCACAGUUUGCAAUUCCACGAUACAGUUGAAAGUGAAGCAGUGGGUGUGCACGCACCGACUUUCUGCGACAAACGCUCCGUUGUGCAAGUACAGUGAAAGGUCUUUGGGUUUUACAUUCUUGGCAACCUGUGAAGCUAAAUGCGUGCUGAGAACGGCUGCUCAGAAGAGACGAAGUAAUUGCCUUAAUCAGACACGAGAGCAGCCGUGGCUGGUGUCCGCAAAGCAGAGGGGAAGCGUUAGUGAGGGGGCAGGGGCGAGGGCAUCACCGCUACCUUCCCUGGGGCACCGAGCAGUGUAUGAUAACCUAAUGCGUGCAGGGGUAGGACCCAUGCGUUUCCAGUUUUUUGUUGUGGGGCUACGCAUCCUGGGGAGCGCGAAGAUGUGCGAGGUGGUUUUCCGUACCUUGUUCUGACAUAGUUUGGUUGCACUGACUUUCUGGUGGCCUGUGGGUACUUGACCUUUAACGGUGAGUUCAGCAAAUGGGGGUCUAAGCCUUAAGGUCAAAGGCAGCGUGAACAGCAGGGUCCAGCAAAAGUCUUUGAUGAAACAGAGACAGGUCGUAGCCGUGGGGGAUUUGAAUCGCGUGCAGGUUGUGUGGCCUGUGGAUUCAGAAAACAUUGCUGGGUGUCCUCCCUGCUCCGUGCAGAAGUGAGAGAUCCCACACAGGGUCUUCACGGGCUCUUGGGCAAAGCUGGAGGAAAGCUGUUGAGCAUAGUUUCUGUAGGUCCUGAUGACUUCUUAAACUGAUCCAUUUUGAUUUUAUCUCAGGAUUCGUCUACACAGUACGAAGCAUUUGUACUGGGCUGAGAGAGCAUGGUAUCUGGCCUGAGCCACAGUAUGAUUCAAUGUUGGCAUGGCAUGAUGCUAACACAUCCACGCUGCUUCAGCUGUCUCAGCUGUUGCAGAUAUCUCCCCGGUACUGUGUUGUACAGCGAAGACAUAUCCUUAGUUUUACAUGUGGCCACAAUACUCCUGGAGGUAUAUGCUUUCAGCGUAUAGGUGCCUUGUGUUCUUUUUAACCCCUUUUGGGUGUACAGAAGAGGGGCUGGCUGGUUGAAAAAUGGAUGACUGCACUUCAGGAAACUUGCAGAAGACUGUACAAGUGCUAAAAGCUACUGUGAUUUCAUUUAAUAAUCUUAACAUUUUCUCCUAAGUGACUAAGAAUUCCAUUAAGAAAUAUUACAUAGGUUGUUUAUUCAGUAUAUGGUCAUGUAAACUAGUGUGCACUUUCUCUUGAAUUUUGCCAUGAUAUGCUAAAAAUUUUUGCAUCGACACUAGAAAAAAAGUAUGUUUUGAACUAAUAGGCUACUUCUGCUUUAAUGGUGGCACGACAGAGAAGGAUUAAAAGUUAUUAUCUCUCAACAGUUACUAUGUUUUCAUGUGUAUAUUCUUGAUGGUUAUUGUGCGAUGCAACACAUUUUAAUUAUCAUGUUUGCAGUUAUGCCAAUGUAGCUACUUCAAAUUCUUUCUUCCUGUGUUAUUCAGGAUCAGUGCCUGCAAGCUGACCUGCCAGGAUGAAUUCCAGGCAAGUCUGCAGUUAAAUAUUUGGGAAGAGCCAUCCAGGCAGACGUAGUUCAGCUAAGGCAGUAGGAGUUUUGCCAUUGACUUACUGACUCUAAGGUACUACCUGUGGACUUGGAAAGACAUUUCUUCAGUUGUCAGAAACCGUUAGGCGUAUCCAAAUCAACAGCUCAUUCCUUUGCCUGUUGUGGCCCCUUCGUCUCAGUUACAACAGAAGAUUUGUGCUGAAUCUGUUUCCUGUUCACACACAAAAACUUUGAGUUAUUUGGCUUUAGCCAGAAUUAAUAUUAUCCUCUUAGGGGCUAUGUGAAUUUGGUAUGAGUCAUAGUUUCUUGACAUACAGCAUGGAAAGAAAAAUACUAAAGGUCUAGGCAAGUCUGCUGGUCAUCAGGAAAAGUUUGUAAACUUGUUAGCCUUGUUUGGAAGCUGUUUUCCCAUUUUAUAGUAUGUAACUGUAGCUAUGUAACAAGUGAUGCGUGAUGUAGACAAAAGCACUAUGAAAUCCUAUAUCUGCUUUUUGUAAAGAUCAGCUGAACAUGUUAGGUGACGAAUAGAGCAAAAUUAUUGGUCUUGUUCAGAAAAAAAAAAAUAAACUGCAUUUCUAGCUACCUUUCAUCUAUUUUUCAUUCAGGAUAAAAUGCCUGUCAUUGCAACACUGCGAUGUAGUGUGAAGCAUUAGAUAACCACAAAACAGUUUUGAAGCAAAGACAUAAUUCAGAGGUCUGAUUUUUGUAUGGUGAUGAAUCCCCGCAAAAAUGGAGCAUCAGCAGAUCUGAGGCAGCAGACAUCACCGUGUAGAGUCAGUUGAUGUGAACCCUCCUGCUGUCAAUAAACUUCAAGCCGCCUUCUGCAUGUCAUAAAUUCUAAAGAAAACACCAAGGGGAAGAGAUUUUUCCAUUGCUAGAGAAGAAAUGAACUUAGAAAUUUUCUGUAUUUCUGUAAGAAAGAAGAAACCCAGCUCUACUUUAAAGAAGUCAUAGAAAUUGUCAUAGAAAUUUCAUUGCUCUGUGCAACCUCAAAGACACCCAUGUUCCAUGGCCAACACAUGUGAUUAAGCACUUUUAGUGGAAC